ensembl:lncRNA LINC01819 long intergenic non-protein coding RNA 1819
AGGGCCGGGAGGCCCAGUGGGAGUCCCCUGGGCCCCUCAGGUUUCCCUCUUGACGCAAGAUGGGAGAUUGAGAGGUGCUAGGCAUGUUCCCCAAGAGCUGUUGUAAUUUAUUUUGUCAUUCAUUAGUAAGCCCCCUUGCCAUAGCAAAGAUUCCUAGGAGCUGGGCUCAUGGCUUAUGCCUGUAAUGCUAAUACUUUGGGAGUCUGAGGCAAGAGGAUCGUUUGAGCCUAGGAGUUCAAGACCAGCCUGGGCAACAUGAUAACUUAUUCUGGAGGAAGACACCUGCCAUGCCGUGAGGACAGUCAAGCAGUUCUGUGGAGAGAUCCAUGUGGUGAGAAACAGGGGCCUCCUGUCAACAGGAAGAACAACCUGGCAGGCCUGUCUUGGAUUCAGAGCCUCCAGCCCCAGUCGAGCCUUCAGAUAACUGCACCCUUGGCUGUCAUCUCAACUGCAAUCUCACGACAGACCCUGAGCUGGAACUACUCUGUUUACCAAUGCCUGGCCCACAGAAAGACUAUGAGAUAAAACAAGUAUAUUGUUUUUAGAA